rnacentral:sRNA from 1 species
GCUGGGCACAGUGGUGCAUGCCUGUAGUCCCAGCUAUUUGGAGGCUGAAACAGGAGGAUGGCUGGAGUCCAGGAGUUUGAGACCAGCCUGGGAAAUGUAGUAAGACCACAUCUCAA